UCUGCCAAAACGACGGCACUAAAAGCUGCUCUUUCUGUUGUUGGCAAUACAGAUAUUGUACAAGUAAUGACUUUCAAGGCGAUAAUGGAUGCCGUUUGCAAGACAUCCAUUCCAUUUGGUUGGGAUGAUUGUGAAAAAAAUGCGACAAUGAAGCAAGUUGCAAUAGCCCUCUUUAAGCAAGGUGGCACCAAGAGUUACCUCGGGAGAAAAAUUCCUAGAAUAUUCCCCAUCAUGACAACAAAUGUUGACGGAAAAACACUCAAGGUAUUAUCUUGAUGGGUGAGAAUUCCAUUCGAAACACUAGACCCUCUGUACAGGUCUAAAACGUACAGAGACAGGUAUCAACUUUUAGAAAAUGCCAUGACCGAUGCAAGCGCAAGUGUAGCAGUUGUCACUG